UAAUGCAACAUGAGAAAAGUGUCGGUGUUCAAUUGCAUUAUUUGGUGUGGAAUAUUCUGUCAUUCAUUUGGAUGUGACUGAAGUUACAGACUUUUAUUAUUGACAUUGUCGUAUGCCAUUAACUAGCCUGUCAAGUCUAUUUUAAGGUUGAAUAUGCCAUAAAUUCUUAGAUGAAUUUUACAUAUAGUCUAUCAAAAUAACUCAUCUUUGCCUUUUUCCUCUUCGCAUAGCAGACACGAAUGCUACACAAUUAGUGUUUUUUUUUUUUUUGGUAUUUUCAGCUUUGUUUGGAAAGUGGAGAAUCCUCGCAAGUGGUUUGGUGCCUUUUGUUCCUUUGCAUCCUAGUAAAUACAUUUCUUGCCAUUCUUUUUUUCUUUAUUUUUUUGCACCACAGACAUAUAUACUGAUCAGUAAUUUUUUUUUUCUAAUUUUCAGCUUUGGUCCGAAAAUAGAAAAGGUUUUGCAGUGAAAUUUCUGUUCAUUCCAGGUUAGUUUACCUCUGAUUUGUAUCAUUAAUUUGCUGAAAUUUUUGUUAAUAUUAUAUGGGCUGAUAUUUUAAAUAUUUUUCCAGGUUAGUUUUCCAGUAAAAGAGACUUUUUCUCUUGACAUCUAAACAAAAGGUUGGAUUUGUGUGUGCAAGGUCACAUCAUUAGCAAACGGCUUAGCAAAGAAACAUCCAAAUUUUCUUCAAGUCCGAGAGAAAAAUAUUUGCAUUUAGCUAGUUAAGUUAAGGAUCAUUCAUUACAUUCAACGAAAAGUUAUGAUAAGAGAGAUUGUAGGUUGUUCUAUUCUCUUAUAAGGAGAAUUGCAAUUACCCGAUCCCUUGUGUUUAAGUUUUUUGGUAAGUACGCUUCUCUAUCUAGUAAUGUCUUCUGAAUUCUGAUUUAGUCUCUAAUCAUUAAUUCAUUACUAUAAAAUAAUAAUACUCCUAAUUCUGAUUUCUUCAACAAGUUCAAUGGGAAGAUUUAUAUGGUAGCAGAGUCUCGAUUAUCAGAGCUUCCUAUGGAGAAGGCAAAAAAGAGUGUACCUAAUGGACCCGUUAAUGAUUCUGAGAGCACAAAUCCUAAGACAAAGUGCUGGUGCUUCAGAACCGUAAAUAAUUUUCAAGCAAGAAAACCAAAUUUUCACAAAUCCUAAUGGACCCGUCAAUAAUUCCCUUCAACUCAAUUCAAUCAAAGGCAAUAUACGUUCAAAUACCAAGAAAACCAAAUACAAAUCACAACUUUAUCAAUCACCAUCUCCACACGUAUCAAAUUUCAAGCAAGAAAAUAACCAGACUCACAUGUGACUUUAAUUGAAGUGCUGGUGCUUGAGCUUCAGUGUGGUGGCAGGCUGGUAGCACGAAAAUUGGAGAAGAACGGGUGCUGGAGCUUCAAACUUUGAAGCUUGAAACGGCCAAAAUCUGGCGGCAACAGAGGAUUUCGUAGCUUGAUAUUCUUACCGAAGCAAUGGCUGCUGGAGCUUGAAGCUUUAAAGCUUGAAGCCUUGAAGCUGUCAGCUGUAGCUUGUGGGUUCUUGGUAGAAGCCGCAGCGAUUUGUCUUGUGGGUUCUUGGUAAGAGCUGUAGCCGAAGCUUGAGGUGGUUUGAUGGUUGGGAUUUGAUUUGGGCAGCGGAGAGGAGAAGAGAAACGACAAAGGUCUGCUUGAGGAGAAGAUGAAGAAGACCCGAAGCUUUUUUUUGACGGAACUUUUUGACUUUGAGGCAAAAUUUGUUAAAACAUUGCAACUAAAGCCUGCAAUUCUUUGAUAAAUUACAAGCCUACUCCAAAUGUUUUCAUUUACUUACAAAAUGAGCCUUGUAUUUCACAAAUUCAAAAAUUUGUGGGAUCGAAAUAGAAUCGUAGGAUCUUACCGAUCCUAUGCAGAUUCAAGGAAUUUGCGAUUCUGAGUGCGAUCUGGAUCGAUUUUGACUUUCUCGAUCGUAGGAUUGUAAGAUUCGGAUCGCGAUUGUACGAUCCUACUAUCCGAAUCGCAAUUUUACCUAUUAUCUGAAUCGCAAUUUUAACAACCUAUCAUGUACUCUUUGGCUAUGUAAGCAAUGUUUGGUCCAGUUAUUUGACUAGCACUGAUGUUUAUACAAUUGGGACUUAAUGAAUUAGAAUAUUACAUUAUGGAUUAUGUAACUUUUUUUUUUUUUGCAUGAGUGGGUUUAGAUUUUCAAGCCAAAUGUGCAUUUCUGCAUUUAGUCAUAUCAUCUAACAAGUGCUUAUGCAUUAAGCAUCUGGAUUAACUAGUGUAAAGAAUAUUUUGUUUCUAAUUCCUUGCAAUUGCAUAUGAUAUGAUAAAUUCCCACAAUUGUUUGUAAAGGUCCAUUAUACAAAACUUUUCCCAAAAGAAGAAUGGUCCAUUAUACAAGAACUUCUUGCCUGCGUUCAUUGAUGCAACAUGCAUUUAAGAGGACAAAUGGGUAGUUUUGAGCCCUACAGCUUUCCAGAAUAGGCAUUUAUUGCAGAAUGGUUGCGCCACCAAUAUCUGGUGAACAAAGCCAUACGCAUUGCAGCAAUGCCCUUUUGCCUUUGUUGCUUAUAUAUAGUUACAUCAGUUCCAAAAGAGCAUCUGAUGCCAUUUGUUUCCUUGUUUAACUUCUACAGUACAGUCUCCUUGCUUCCCUAGUUCUCUCCUUUCUUCACAGUAUCAGUCUAUUCUCCGAAGCGGUUUGCUCCUCUAGUUUUCUCCUUUCCUCGUAUCAGUCUACUUUCCUUUAUUUGCUACUUUUGUCUGCUGGAAGCCACGAGGACUUCUCUCUUACUGCAGGUAACUCCCACAACUUAUGCUAUUUGUUUACCUCAAUCAAGGAGUCCAGGGAAUCUUUUUUCAAGAAAGGAUGUUGCAUCUUUGAUUGGUCUGCAUUCCAAGUUUCAUUUGACUUGCCUAAAAGGAAAAAAAGUUUCAUUUGUCUUGAAACCUGAUGCACCGUUAGUUUCAAGCCACAGAUUAACCUGGUCUCAAGGGACAAAAUUUUGCUCUCAAAAUGACCCAAACUCCUAGUCUCCUUUCAAUUUAUCUGUCACUCUGCCUGCCAGUAGCAAAUAACAUGUAAAGCCAACGGACUUGAGUCUGUAAAUGAUGGAAGAUAUAUACUAAAUUUCGGUAAUCAUGUGUUCAGCAAUACUCUUGUUUGGUGCUCUGAGAUGCAAGUCCACUGUGCACCCAAUAACCUCUAAAAAUACUUAAUUAUCUUGUCAUCUGGAAAAAGAUUGGAAAGUGUCUUCUAUGUUACCUUCUGACACACCCUAUUAGAUCAUGUACAGAAUUUUAUGAAUCUCUUCGUAUAUUUGCAUUCGAAACUACAAUGAUGAUUCAGUCGGAUAAAAACAUCAUUUUGCUAGUUCUCCUAUCUUUUUACACAGAAAACUGAAGCAUGACAAACGCAAGAGUUUGUAAUUAACUAAUUAUAUCAAACCAAGUGUACAACAACAGAUUACAGGAAUUAUGCGUGUUUAUCUCUAGAAGGGUUCACUCACAUUCAUUUGCCUUCAAAUCACUACACGAAAUACAACAACUCAAUACUCUCUACUGAAGUUGGAAGUUCUUUGAUGGAUCCUACAAAACAAAAAUUGUUUUUAUUUCUUGUCCUGAUCUUUCAUAUACAUUCUUUGUGAUCUGCAUC
rnacentral:lncRNA from 1 species